AAGCUUGCAGUAGAAGACCUCAAGCAAUUAAUUCCCUUGGCUGGGUUUCGUUCCUAUCGGUAGAAUCGCCAGCCUUCAACUCGCUCCAGUGUGGUGCUGGUCAGCAUGCAGGCUUGUUUUGAUUCACAGUUCCUGUCUCAUACAGGAGGGAUCGUGUGGCUUUCUGCGCUGCUUUGCUGUCCGACCAGGCUCCCAAGAUCUAUCCUGCAGUAAAGGGCCGAUCAUGGAGCCCCUAGAAAUUGGCGGUGGCCAACGGAACAAAAAGACUGCGGUGAACUAAU